rnacentral:lncRNA from 10 species
AGGGACCGGUAGGCGCCGGGGUCAGCGCCAGCGUUUGAUGUGCGGCGGGGAGCGGGCCGAGCCCCGGGAGGCCGCUUCGCACCUCCCAGUGUGUCCGGGUUGAGCGCGAGGUCAGGAGGGGACGCAGAGUUCACGGCGAAGACGGAUCGCGGGGGCUCGUCCCGCCCGGGUUGCGCGCAGCGGGGGCCGCGUGAUGGAUGGGCCGGGCCGGGCACCCGGGAACCCGCGAGCGCGGGGCUGGGCUCUGGGCUGCGUCCGGGGGCCCCGACUUGGUUAUUGAUCGGCCCAAGCGCAGGAGAACUGACUCUAUAAUGCAUCGCCUGACCAGGAAAAGUGUUUGCUUUUGUGGGAGCAAAAGACAACUUUCUGCCCCGCCAGAGCGUUGCUAAGUGAGCGGUAAUGACCACGCUAGAAAUUUCAUAGGGAGAGGCUAAUGGCAGGCUGACUCUAAAAGUGCUUUUAAGUGCAACUUCUGUCUAAUCCCUUGAGGGGGAAGAAAACAUCGGCGACUAAGAAAGUUCAAGUUGUACAGGACCCGGGUUUUUGGGGUCGGGGUCACUUCUGCUCUGCGUGACUUUGAAGAGGAAGACCUGCGGUUUUUUCCAGUGGAUUUUCACACGUGUUUUAAAGAGAACUCCCGGCUCCUGAAAUGAAAGGCCCGCCUGUAGGGUUUUGCUGCCUCCCCUCUGCCCACGCCCCACCCCCACAGCCUGGAUCAAAGCGAUCAGACAAAUUAUUCAGAAGUAACACAGCCCUGAAAUGUUCCUAAACGUGACUAUUUGAGGCGAUGAAUCAAGCGUGUUCCCUCCGCCCCCAACCCACCCCCAGACCGAAAAUGUGACUCUGGAAACGGACUUGCAGAGCUGGCUUCGGUUUAUAUGCGGUUCUGACCCCUGUUGACUUUAGGACAAGCCUUCCUGUUUCCAGUACUGCAGCAUCGCCAGACAGCCUCGCCAUGCAAUCGGCUUUCCAGAUACGAUUUCACUCCUCACCAAAGACACUUCUUUAGGGCGAUUUUAGGAUUCUAUCAACGCUAGUAAAGGAACUACUUAAACACGUUGAUUUGUAUCGCCUUCCCUGACUAUGAAACAUUGAAGUGGAAUACUACUCAUCAAUAAAAAAAAUAUAAACUCCUGAUACACCUCAUGGAUGGAUGCAUAGAUGGAUGGAUGGAUCUGAAAAACAUCGUGCUGAAUAAAAGAAGCCAGACAUGAAAGAGGGCCUCGCAGGACUCUGCACAGCCCGCACAAAGGACGUAGGAUUCUGCACUGGCAGAACUGGAUGUAAUGUUGCCCUGAGAAACAUUCAUUUAUUUCAGAGUGAAACCCGUUAAAAUGGAAGUGUGUAGGAUUUGGGUUGGCUGGAUGCAAGCUUCCCUCUGCAGCGGGAUGAGGCUGCCACUACCAGGAGCACGCUGGCCUGCCGGCGGGAGGAACAGAUGCCAGAGGAGACCUGACUGUGUCCUCAAGGCCAUGCCCCAUCAGCCAUCCCAGCAGAGCCCACAGCCACCCACAGAGGAAUGAGGAUCCCCAUCCAGGAUCACCGGAACUGCACAACUGACUCACAAACGUGUGAAGAGUAAUGGGUAACGUGUUGAACUGUGAGCCUUUGAGCCUGGGGAGGUUUGUGAUGCAGCAGUAGCUCCCAGACCCUUGAGGCUCUUCGGCACGAAGGUGCUGAGCCAUGCACCUAUGCAAAGCCAAACUCUGCACUAGGCCUACUGGGGUGUGCAGAGAGAGAGGGCUGAACAAACUGCGGUUCCACCCAGAAGACCCAGAAGAACAUUUACGGAGGAGUCAGUGCAAGAGGCGAGAGAGCAUGCGUGAAGAGGCUCGUUCUUGUGGUGUAGAAAAGGAGGCCAGAGUCUCCCAGACCACGAUUCUUUUCCUUUAGGUGUUUCUUGGGCAUUUUCAAUCUUAAAUCUCUUCCCAUGUUAUUGAGAUUUCUGAUUGAAUGUCCCCAUUUUCCCUCAGACAGCAGGCCGUGUGUGAGUCACCACCUCCAUCUUUCUAUGUCCUGGGUGUGGGCCCAGUGAAGGACAGUUAUGGAAAUUUAGAGAGAAGAGGUCGCAGGUGUGGUGGGGGUGGUGAAGCUUCAGAAGAGAAAAGAAGCAUGGUGGAGAGGGUGGACUCUGGAGGCUACUGCAGAGCUCUCCCCCAGGCUAUGAGGGGGCAUGAUGGUCCCAAUAGCCUGAGUCUGUGUUCAUUUCAACUGGCUACCUUGUGACGAGGAAGAUGGCCCAGGUUCCCAGUGGGAAAUCUAUGGUUAUCAUUAAGAACGCAGGGCCUGAGAUGAAACCUGGCAGGUGAAAGGCACCUGGUUUUAUGCAACCUGGUUUUGCAGAAGCCUGUGGGAGGGGGCCCAGGGGGGAAG